AUGUUGUGCAUCCGCGCGUGCAUGAGGCGAAGAGAUGUAGGAACUCUUUGCGUGGAUCGAUCCAUCCAGAGUCCACUCUGAAGGCCGUAUUCAUUGCACCUUUGCCCUCUGCCCACCGCUACUCACCCAGCCCAACCCAACCAUCAAUGCCACCGUCGUCUGCCCUCUGCCCACCGCUACUCACCCAGCCCAACCCAACCAUCAAUGCCACCGUCGUCUGCUCGUAUCUGCGCCCAAUUCUCAAGUAAAAGCUGGGAGACGGAAUGGAUGAACCUGAUGAACAUCGCUAUGGUCUGUGGCUAUAAAGCAGCGGUGUGGAGUGUGGACCUCGUCCACGUGGUUGUCGAGCCACGACGCCCAAAUCGCAGAGCCUGAAUCUCGCCCGUCCGAUAUAUCAUAUAUAUAUAUGGCAAAGAAGAGAUCCGAUUCUACCGAUCUCGAUUGUUGUAAAAAUCGUACGGUCCGGAUCAACCUUCUCGAUCCUCGGCCUCGUCGGCGGCGGCUUCUCGUGUCGUCUUUCGCCGGCUCGAAAUCAGGUCGUCACCACGUGUAAAAUCAAAUCGCGUCUGCACAUAACAGCCGCGAUCCCUGAUCACCCCACACACACACACACACACACACUCUCUCUCUCUCUCUCUCUCUCGCGCGCGCGCGCGUGUUCUCUCCCGACGCAAUGGGCGAGACUAACGGCGACGUACGGACCCCCGUGACUAACGGCGGCGGACCCCCGGCGUCCGUGACGGAGCCGGCGGUAUUCCGGGGGACGGAAUAUUCCCUCGUCCGUACCAUCGUCGCCCUCGCCGUUUGGCUCGGCGGCAUCCACUUGAACGUCGCGCUCGUCCUAACGGCGCUCCUCCUCCUCCCCGCCCGCCUCGCUGCAUUGGUUUUUGGGCUUCUGCUCUUCUUCAUGGUGAUUCCUCUCAACGAUAAGAACAAAUUUGGCCUCAGCUUGUCCAGGUACAUUUGCAAAUAUGCUUGCGGAUACUUCCCUAUUACCCUUCACGUUGAGGAUAUACAGGCUUUCGAUCCAAAUCGUGCUUAUGUGUUUGGUUAUGAGCCGCAUUCUGUGUUGCCUAUCGGCAUUUGUAUUCUUGGGGAUCACACAGGGUUUAUGCCUCUGCCUAAUAUCAAGGUUCUCGCAAGCAGCGCAGUGUUCUAUACUCCAAUUCUAAGACAGAUUUGGACUUGGCUGGGGUUGAUCUCUGCGUCGAGAAAGAACUUCUAUGCCCACCUUGCAGCUGGUUAUAGUUGUGUCGUCGUGCCAGGUGGCGUGCAAGAGAUUCUUCAUAUGGAUCAUGAUUCGGAGGUGGCUUUCCUUAAAUCGAGAAAGGGGUUCGUCCGGAUAGCUAUGGAGAUGGGCUGCCCUUUAGUUCCUGUUUUCUGUUUCGGUCAGAGUAAUGUUUACAAGUGGUGGAAGCCCAGCGGAAAAUUAUUCUUUAAGAUUGCUAGAGCAAUAAAGUUUACUCCAAUAAUCUUUUGGGGAAGAAUGGGGACUCCUAUCCCAUUUCAAAAGGCAAUGCAUGUAGUAGUUGGAAGACCUAUCGAGCUCGUGAAAAACCCCCGGCCUACUGUGGAUGAGGUAAAUCACGUCCAUGCACAAUUUGUGGUGGCUCUACAAGAGCUUUUUGAGAAGUACAGGGCCAGGGUGGGAUCUUCUGAUCUACAUCUUAGAGUUCUAUAGUGUUGGUACUAUAACGCUGCUGUUGGAUUAAUGCACAGAGGUUUGAAGUGAAUUUCUAAAGUGUAGUCUGGAAGAACAAGUCAUACAUCUCAAGUUUCAGUGAAGUAAGAUUGGUUUUUAAAGUUCUGCUCCAGCGCCGAAGCCGUGGUUUAUCAUAAGUGGACUUGGGGAAAAGGCCAAAGCACCAUAUUAUAGAUAAGAGGACAAUAAAAAGCAUUUCAGAGGAUUGCAUCGAGUGCCAGAGGAAUCUAUUCGUGUGGAAACGGGGGGCAAGUUCACAAGAUUAGAAGAGAUUCCAAACAGGUUGGUUAGUAAGAGAGCACAUCAUGCAUGUGGAAGCCCCUAUAUAAAUAAAGUUUUUUUUUUUUUUUUUUUUGAGAAAGAGGUAGUAUGUUAUCCGCUUCAUUCAUUCAGAAGGAGAAUUAAGCUAUAUAGGUGAGGCAACACAGGCCUCGGGGGAUGGCGGAAAAAAACUAAACUGAAAAAAAAAAAAAGCUGACGAACCCUCGGAAUGACCCCAAACAGCUGACGAUCUUUAGGAUGGUCCAAACAGACCCAACUCUCAAGAUUUUUAAGAUUAAACAGCUGACGAACCUGCGGGUGAACCUUAGCCCAGUGGAGUGACAUAACCAUAACUGUUAGUUUUUCUUUUUUCGGUUUAGUUUUUUCCGCCCUAUAUAAAUAAAGCUAGUUGCUUAUUGUCUUGC